AUCCAGGUAGCCAAGUAGUAAGGCGAUGGUCUGCAAAACCAUUCAUCGUGGGUGCAAUUCCCACUCUGGAUUCCA
rnacentral:tRNA from 2 species